CCUACGGGAGGCAGCAGUGGGGGAUAUUGCACAAUGGGGGAAACCCUGAUGCAGCGACGCCGCGUGUGGGAAGACGGUCCUCUGGAUUGUAAACCACUGUCCUCAGGGACGAAGAUGACGGUACCUGGGGAGGAAGCUCCUGCUAACUACGUGCCAGCAGCCGCGGUAAUACGUAGGGAGCAAGCGUUGUCCGGAAUUACUGGGUGUAAAGGGAGCGUAGGCGGGAUGGCAAGUUGGGUGUUAAAUCUACCGGCUCAACUGGUAGGCGCACUCAAAACUGCUAUUCUUGAGUGAAGUAGAGGCAGGCGGAAUUCCUAGUGUAGCGGUGAAAUGCGUAGAUAUUAGGAGGAACACCAGUGGCGAAGGCGGCCUGCUGGGCUUUUACUGACGCUGAGGCUCGAAAGUGUGGGGAGCGAACAGGAUUAGAUACCCCUGUAGUC
rnacentral:rRNA from 1 species